ensembl:lncRNA novel transcript, antisense to C7orf33 and CNTNAP2
ACUCCUGCCUCAGGCCUCAGCCACCACAGUAAGUGGAACUCUAUACCUCCACCUCGCCUGGCUGGGUGGAGCCUCUAAACUCAGGAUUCUGCCUUGAGCUGUGGCUCUCCCCUCAGGUUGACAGGGUCCAGAGCAAAACCUACGGAAGAAGCUGCAGAGGCCAGGUGGAGGGAAGGAUGCUGAACUGGAGGAGGCCAGGAAAUUAUGAGGUGAUUCUAAGCACAUUAAAAUCUGGAUGACACUUAUCUGAAUCAUUUCGCAACUUGGAGAGAGAUGGAGAAGACACGCAUGGUGUAACUGGGCAUCACCAGAAUGUGCACUGCCAUCUGUGGCUGUCUUCCUGCUGGCAAAUCCUUUUCAUUCCAAGCAAAUAAGAUUCCCUAAAUUAGACAAAAAGGAAGAAACACAACAGAGUCCAUAAUUCUGAGAGGAAGAGAAGAGUGAUCAUCAGCAGCAAAAGGCAAUUGCAGAGAAGCACCACCAAGAGCCAGCUUCAUGCUCAGGAGUGAAUGCUGAGCCGCCUCCUCGUGGUUUCCGGUGCUCCACAUGUUCAGAGAAACUUCUCUGCACCUCUCCAGAUUGACAAAGUCUCCUGACAAUUACUGAUCAGUCACAUCUACAAAUGUUUGUAGCAUUCUGAGGUGUGACUUAUCUACAUCUUGGGAAAUACAUUUCUGCAAUUAAUUAAUUACUGAUUAAUGGAGCAACUACAGAAAAUAUUCAAAUCGAAGAAAGGAAGGUGGACAAGGGAAAGGAUGGAAAGAUGAGUAUGACCCAGUCCUGUACUGAAGAUGAACAGACUGGACGUCGAAACAUAAAUAAAAUACAUUGACAAAUGCUGAGAC